rnacentral:rRNA from 1 species
UACGUAGGGUGCGAGCGUUAAUCGGAAUUACUGGGCGUAAAGCGUGCGCAGGCGGUUCGCUAAGAACGAUGUGAAAUCCCCGGGCUUAACCUGGGAACUGCAUUGGUGACUGGCGGGCUAGAGUAUGGCAGAGGGGGGUAGAAUUCCACGUGUAGCAGUGAAAUGCGUAGAGAUGUGGAGGAAUACCGAUGGCGAAGGCAGCCCCCUGGGCCAAUACUGACGCUCAUGCACGAAAGCGUGGGGAGCAAACAGG